rnacentral:rRNA from 1 species
GACGAACGCUGGCGGCGUGCUUAACACAUGCAAGUCGAACGGAAAGGCCCUGCUUUUGUGGGGUGCUCGAGUGGCGAACGGGUGAGUAACACGUGAGUAACCUGCCCUUGACUUUGGGAUAACUUCAGGAAACUGGGGCUAAUACCGGAUAGGAGCUCCUGCUGCAUGGUGGGGGUUGGAAAGUUUCGGCGGUUGGGGAUGGACUCGCGGCUUAUCAGCUUGUUGGUGGGGUAGUGGCUUACCAAGGCUUUGACGGGUAGCCGGCCUGAGAGGGUGACCGGCCACAUUGGGACUGAGAUACGGCCCAGACUCCUACGGGAGGCAGCAGUGGGGAAUAUUGCACAAUGGGCGGAAGCCUGAUGCAGCAACGCCGUGUGCGGGAUGACGGCCUUCGGAUUGUAAACCGCUUUCGCCUGUGACGAAGCGUGAGUGACGGUAAUGGGUAAAGAAGCACCGGCUAACUACGUG